UCAUGUCUGAUUUCAGUGAUUUUGAUUUGAUCAGUAUGAUCACUUGAUUUGAUCCAAAUCAACAGGCCCCAUUCCUCUUGUUUCUCUUCUCUCUAGCCUCUAUUAAAAUACAGAGAACUCUGGUAGCCUAUCCAUGCCUAAAGUAAAGCUCCAUUACACGCUAGAGGGUGACACCUCUGUCAUUGCUACUUUGUCAGCAAACAUUAGUAAGAUGGAGUUUAUUUUCAGAGGUCUUCCCGGUGCACCUGAGAAUUACAAGCCUACAAAGCUUGAGACAGCAGAUGGAUCACCAAUAACAGAUUAUUCUUUACCACCACCUGACACUGUUUAUGUUGUUGGCAUUAAAGUGUAGCUUUCAUUUUCUAGAAAUUAAUUUCUAUAUUUUUUUCCAAUGAUUCUAAUUGUUUUAUGCUCAUUUUAUAAUGUGUCGCUGCAAGAGUA